rnacentral:rRNA from 1 species
UACAGAGGGUGCGAGCGUUAAUCGGAAUUACUGGGCGUAAAGCGCGCGUAGGCGGCUUUGUAAGUCGGUUGUGAAAUCCCCGGGCUUAACCUGGGAACUGCAUCCGAGACUGCAUGGCUAGAGUAUGGGAGAGGGAAGUGGAAUUUCAGGUGUAGCGGUGAAAUGCGUAGAUAUCUGAAGGAACAUCGGUGGCGAAGGCGGCAUCCUGGACCGAUAUUGACGCUGAGGCGCGAAAGCCAGGGGAGCAAACGGG